GCGCUCUCUCUCAUUCACAUGAUCACAUCUUCCUCUACUAAUCUUUUUCCGUCUUCGUUCCUCUCUCUGUAGUGGUUUGGAUUAUGCUUUUAUAAAUCAAUGAAGAUGGCUUUUUUGAUGGACACAAACUAGUCUCUGGUGUCUUUCUUCUCUCCGCUGCAUCUUCUUCAGGAGGUUGUUUUGUGAGCGAAUCUAUGAUCCGAUCAUCAUCGCUCCCCUACCGCUUCUGAAUUUUCACUCCCCCCAUACGGGUGUUUUGGAAGCGUAUCAAUGUUCCAAUCAUCCUUCCCUACGGUUUGAUUUACUUAUUUGUUAAAUUCUUCUAGGGUUUGGUCUCUGAGUUUCGCCCCCUCUUCUGAGUUUUCACAGGGUCUGUCUGGGCUCCUCUGAUGUGAUUGAUGUACAAGGCUGUACCUGUGGGUUUAUUCAGGUUUUUGGAUGAUGCUCUCAUCAGUCAGUGAUGGCUUUGACUGAUCUUCCUGCUUCUGAAUUUUCACUCCUCCUCCUACGGUUUGAUUUUUUUAUAAAAUUGUAUUCUUACUUGUCCUUGUGUUGUUGCAGGUUCCUGGUGUGGCGGAUGAAGCUAUAUGGUCGAUAUGGCUGAUUUGCUUCUUCUUCUUCUUUCUUAUGUCUCUUAGGGUGCCGUCUGCUACUAAGUCUGGACUCCUCUGAUGUGAUGCACAAGGCUGGACGUCAUUUGGUUGAUAUAUUCAGAUCGCCUGGAUUACUAACUGUGUGGGAGGUUAAAAGAGAAAACAUUGUGGGAGUUUUAGCUUUCAGGUUAAUAUUGGCUAUUGUUGAUCCUCAGCUUCUUGUGUUUCCCAGAUGUGCUUGCUGUGUGUGUACACAUCCAGAUGAGAUAUACUCCACAAAUUCUUUCCUAGACGAGAGUUUUGGGUGAUUCGUUUAUCGAUCAGUGAUGGCUUUCAAAUGGACACGCUUCGUCUCUGUGCUAAAGUUUCAGAAAUUCAGAAUUCCUUAUCCAGUUUGAUGGUUCUAAUCCUGAUGAUUUGGUGGUUGUCAUUGGUUACUCGGUUGUGUGAAGAACCUGCAAUGAUGCUAAUCAGAGAAUUCGGUCGCAGAUAUUCUUACCUUCCAAGCAAAUAAGGUGAGACCGCUAAGAAGAUAUGAUGGUUUUGGGAAAUCGUGUUGUGGUUGAUGCUUUUAUUGAUAAAGUGGUGGCUUUGAUGGACAAGCUUCUUUUCUGAGUUACGUCUUCAAAGUUGUGUUUUGGAAGCGAAUUAUGAUCUGGAUGGCAAGGGCUAACCUCACACAGAGACAUCGUCCAAGCAGAUUUUUUCAGCUCCACAUAUGCCUGCAACACAAACAACUACACCACAUCUGCUAGUUAGAAUUUCAGGAACAAUGACAAGGGCUUACCAGCCAAAUCACACAGACAUUCUUCAAUUGCUUUAACGACAGAAGUGUCUAAGCAGAUCGGAGAUGGUUUGAAGAAUGAUGAAGAAGACUCAUACUGCUUAAGGUUUUCUUUCUAUCAUCAACACCACAAUCCAUAAGUGAAGACUGAAGUUUUUGGUUUUGUUUGUUGUCUCUAUGGAUUGGGUGGAAGAUGAUGAACAAUGGCAAGGGAUAACCUGUCAGCUCACACAAACACAUCUUCACAGAGAGACAUCGUGUAAGCACUAAGCAGAUCAAAGAGAUAUGAUCAAAUCCUAUGUCAUUGACAUAUCAAAGAGAUAUGAUCAAAUCCUAUUUCAUUGACAUCUGAGACGAGACCUAUUGAGUUUGGUGAAACCGAAGACUGCGGUUGGCCAUGGCAAAUACACAUAUCACAAGGAGCCAAUGGAGAUGUUUGUUCUGUGGAUUCGUUUGGUUGUAGAUCAAACUCAAUGUCCAAGAUUGUGCAUGACGAGCUAGUGAAUUUGUGAUGGAUGCAGGAGAUGUAUCUGAGCUACGCUUUGCUAUACCAGGUCUUAAAGAGGAUUCAAAGACGACCAAACCCUAGAAGACCUCUUCCCAUACAAUUAAAUUUGGUGAUAUUAUGUUUCCAUGGAUGUUUGAUGAGAGUCAUGCCGUGAAGCCGUUUAACAAGGCUGCCACUGAUAUCUUGGCCAAGAAAAAUGAUUGACAUUCAUUCAAAACUAACAAGCUGAGACGAGGCCUAUGGAGAUUGGUGAAACCGAAGACCUGCAGGAACACCUUGAAAGACAGCAGCUAAGCUCAGGGAAGGUUAAUGAAGGUGUAGCUGAUUCUCAACCUUCUAAACAGAUGGAAGAGCUUCCGGAUGAAAGUUCUGAUGCGUUUAUUGAUGGCUCUCUUAUGGAGAAGGUACUUAAGAGGAGAAGUAUGCGGAUGCGCAAUGCAGAGAGCCGGGCAGGAAUCCCUUGAGGGAAGGACGAUGCUGGAUUUCCAGAAAUCUUUGGUAAAGACAAAGACAGACUUCUUCAAGCUAUUUCUCGUAACCAGGUGAAGAUUAUAGUGAGACGAGAAGACUGCUGUUGGCCAUGGAGUUUGGUGAAACCGAAGACUGCUCUUGGCCAUGACAGAUACACAAAAGACAUAACAUAAGGAUUCAAGUGAAUAGCCGAGACUGGUGGAAUUCUUGGAGGCUGCAGCUUGCGGACAGAUCAAUCUCAAUGGCCAAGAUCGUACAUGAUGAACUAGUGAAAUUGUGAUGCCUGCUGGAGAUGUAUCUGAUGAGCUACGCUUUGCUAAACCAGGUCUUAAAAACGACCAAACCCUAGAAGACCUCUUCCCAUACAAUUAAAUUUGUUGGGUGUCAGCCACUACUUGCUACCAGUUGGGUGUCAGCCACUGCUUUCAUGACCAAUGCAUAAGGUUUUUGGUUAAAGAACUCUGGUGGGGGGG